rnacentral:rRNA from 1 species
UACGUAGGGUGCGAGCGUUAAUCGGAAUUACUGGGCGUAAAGCGUGCGCAGGCGGUUUUGUAAGCCAGAUGUGAAAUCCCCGGGCUUAACCUGGGAAUGGCAUUUGGGACUGCAAGGCUCGAGUGCGGCAGAGGAGACUGGAAUUCCUGGUGUAGCAGUGAAAUGCGUAGAUAUCAGGAAGAACACCCGUGGCGAAGGCGGCGCUCUGGGACGGUACUGACGCUGAGGCGCGAAAGCGUGGGGAGCAAACAGG